rnacentral:rRNA from 1 species
AAUCCUGGCUCAGGAUGAACGCUAGCUACAGGCUUAACACAUGCAAGUCGAGGGGCAGCAUGAACUUAGCUUGCUAAGUUUGAUGGCGACCGGCGCACGGGUGAGUAACACGUAUCCAACCUUCCGUUUACUCAGGGAUAGCCUUUCGAAAGAAAGAUUAAUACCUGAUAGUAUGGUGAGAUUGCAUGAUAACACCAUUAAAGAUUUAUUGGUAAACGAUGGGGAUGCGUUCCAUUAGGUAGUAGGG